CCCUACUAGCAAACCAGGCGUCAGGCGUGGUCCAAUCUCUCUCAAGUCUCAAUUCGUGUCGCUGCACGGUGGGCCUCGCAGCCGGAAACGCCCCAGAACCCCUCGCGAUUAACGCCCGAGCGCGACAAGCUAUCCGCUCGCUUCCGCACCCCCACGCGGCCGCACUCGACACGACGCCGGCCGCCGCGCUCGUCCCCAAACCCCCGCCGCCCGCCGGGCCAGAAAACCUCCGCCGAAACAAGGGGGGAAGGAUGGCCGACGAGGCGGCGGCCGCGGGCGACGCGGUGUUCGCGCGGUGCUUGCUGGCGCUCUACCUCAUCAGCCCGCUCACCGUGCUGGCGCUCCGCUUCGUCUCCGCGCCGUACGGCAAGCUCUCGCGCCCGGGCUGGGGCCCCGCGCUCCCGGCCCCGCUCGCGUGGUUCCUCAUGGAGAGCCCCACCCUCUGGCUCCCGCCCCUCGUCCUCCUACGCCCGCCCUCCCCGCCGCUGCUCGCCGCGCUCCCCGCCGCGCUCUACGCGCUCCACUACGCCCACCGCACGCUGGUCCACCCGCUCCGCCUCGCCCGCCUGCCCCGCGCCCCGGCCCCGGUUCCCGUCCUCGUCGCCGCCUGCGCCUUCGGCUUCAACAUCCUCAACGCCUACGUGCAGGCCCGCUCCGUCGCGCUCCACGCGGGCCGCCCGGCCUCCGCCUUCGCCCUGGCUCGCUGCGCCGCCGGUCUGCCGCUGUUCGCGUGGGGGAUGCGGACGAACAUCGCCGCGGACAAGGAGCUCCUGCGGCUCAAGGAGGCCGGGGGCGGGUACAAGAUCCCGAGGGGCGGGUGGUUCGACCUGGUCACCUGCCCCAACUACUUCGGCGAGGCCGUCGAGUGGCUCGGCUUCGCCGUGGUGGCGUGGACGCCCGCGGCGUGGGCGUUCUUCCUCUACACCUGCUCCAACCUCGGGCCCAGGGCCAGGGAUCACCGCCGCUGGUACCUGCAGAAGUUCGGCAGCGAUUACCCGGCGUCGCGCAAGGCGUUCGUUCCCUACAUCUACUAGGUGCAGUACUGAGCUUUUGUGAAUCGGAGGUGGGAAAAAAAAUUGUCUUCGUUCAUUGAAGACUUCUGCAUCGUGUCUCAAUUUUUGAGAUUUCUCUUCCUGUCUCUGGUGUGCAAUGAUAGAAAGAUUGUGUCAAUCGUCAGAAUCAAAUUGCGCCGUGUGUGGUCGGCUUCUAUAUUAAUAUUAUUUUGCAGCAAAGAAAAUUGACUAUUCAUGGUGGAUUAUAAGCUUCGAACGAGAAUUUUGCUUGGAAGUGAACCUGGAUUGCUGCCACCGCUGUAGGCUGCAGCGCAAAAACACAUGUUCAUCCGCCACAAAAUGCUAGAACCUUGUAAUCGGUUAAUUCUCUCUUUGGCACCUGAACUUUUCUCUCCCUCUCUUCGCCCUUUUCUCCAUUUCACACACUAUGUAGCUUGGGCCAGUGGAAUGGCACAUGGAGCAGUGGCGGCGGCAAGGGAAGUUAGGCACAGCGGCAGUGUCAGCAGAAGGAAGAAGAAAAGAGAUAGACCUGUAUAGACGGAUGAUGGAUCAAUGCUAAAUUGCUAAUUUGGUGGCUCCAUAACCAACGCUGUGGGGGAAUUGGAGUAUACAUUGAUCUGCCAAUGACUUGAUGGGGUUGGCAGUUCCACUUGGCCCACUACUACUAAUACACAAGCUCACAAAAUCUGCUGCCUCCUGAAGUCCAUUGACCCCGCUGCAUAAGAGAAAUGGACAAUCAGUAUCAGCUACCAGUAUCAAGCUGAGCUUGCAAAGGUUCACAAAUACUGUAGCUCUGCAUACCUGAAAUGGCGCUGGGUGGCCUCUGAAAAACACAGUGGCUUUCCAAAUUCUCUAACCAAAUUCCAACGAGUAACAUGCCAAGAUUCUUUGCUAUCACAAGAGAGGAGAGGAUGUCCAUUUCUCAACACAAACACCACUAGCUCUAGCUGCUGAUUUCAGAGGGAUAAAUGUUUGCACUUGGGUUUUACUGGCACUGCUUUUCUCUGCAGUCUUUUAACAGCUACUAGAAGAAGAGCAAAAUAAAGUGGAAUGCUAAGUUGGAGUUGGUUAUAAGUUUGUGCAUGGUACCUUUUCAGAUCGUGGCACAUGGUUAUUGCACUUGGAGUAAUGACUAUCUCAGUCUGCUGCUGCUGUCAGGGUGAGGCAUAUUUGAUCUUAGUCGAUGUUCAUGCACUAUUGGGGUUUUGUCAGGUUUUGGUGAGCUUGUGUUCAUCGAAUAUAUGAGAUUUGAACUCAUUUUUGAUUUAUGAGAUGUAAACUCAUGUUACAAUUUACAAGAUGUAAAGUGAUUUGAAUUUAUGAGA